GGCUAACGCUGGCGGCGUGUCUUAGCCAUGCAAGUCGAGCGGACUUAUGGGGUAACUUAUAAGUCAGCGGCGGACGGCGGAGUAACACGUAGCUAACCUACCCUCUGGACGGGGAUAACCUACCGAAAAGGUGGGCUAAUACCCGAUGUAGUCAUCCUGUAUAGGGGUGAUGAAAGGUGGGCUUCUGUUUACAAGCUCAUGCUGGAGGAGGGGGCUGCGGCCUAUCAGGUAGUUGGUAGGGUAAUAGCCUACCAAGCCGAUGACGGGUAGCCGGCCUGAGAGGGUGACCGGCCCGAGGGGCACUGAGAUACGGGUCCCACUCCUACGGGAGGCAGCAGGCUAGAAAUUUGGGCAAUGGGGGAAACCCUGACCCAGUGACGCCGCGUGCAGGAAGGAGCCCUUCGGGGUGUAAACUGCUUUUGUACGGAACGAAAAGACUCUUUCUAAUAAAGAGGGUCCAUGACGGUACCGUAAGAAUAAGCACCGGCUAACUACGUG
rnacentral:rRNA from 1 species